UACGUAGGGUGCAAGCGUUGUUCGGAAUUACUGGGCGUAAAGAGAGCGUAGGUGGGAUUAUAAGUUAGGAGUUUAAUCUACGGGCUUAACCCGUAGUCGGCUCUUAAUACUGUAGUUCUUGAGUAUGGGAGAGGGUGAUGGAAUUCCAGGUGUAGCGGUGGAAUGCGUAGAUAUCUGGAAGAACACCAGUAGCGAAGGCGGUCGCCUGGCCCAAUACUGACACUGAGGCUCGAAAGCUAGGGGAGCAAACAGG
rnacentral:rRNA from 1 species